UGCUGGGUGUAGGGAAGUUUUCCUUGGUUUUCUUCGUCUUUUUCCAAUUGACGUAAUUUUCUCCUCCCUCAACCCCCAUCGAACUGCGUUUUUCCUCUGCCAUCACGGCAGGGAGAAGAGCGCCAGAAGCUGCGGCGCGGCUGCGCGUCGAGCCAGUCGUUGUUGUUUCCGCGGUCUCUGGUGCCCCCUCGUGGCCAAUAGGUAGAAUUGCAGCCGUGUUUGUUUGGCGCCGCAGGCACCAGGGCGCAUGCGCACAGGCACGCAGCGGUGGUGGUCCUCGCUCUGCGCACCGAAUCCGCCGAGCUUUGUUAUGGUUAGUCCUCGAGGCAACAGAGCGCAUGCGCCAGGACACUCAUAACUAGCAUUCAAAUCUACAGAACCUCAAAGUGCAGGCGAGCAGUCGAUUCCUGGAGCCUGCCUCGGGAACAGACUAUUGUGGCUCCCAGCGGCCCCUGCGCCCCUGGCACGCGUAAUGAGGAGUCGAAAACAACGCACGCGUAGGUCUGCAGCGACUGCACCAGUUGCUCGAGCUCUUCCCACUGCAGGAGCUCAGAACUGACAAGAACCCUGACCAAAGCAGUAACUCCUGGUUCUGCUGGUACACCUCUUGUACCUGGAGCUGGCUCUCCAUCUGGCUGAAACAUCAUCUUUAACACUUCAAAACAAGCCUAAGGAGAAAAGAUUUUGGUGAUGUGACAUGAAAACAGACAGCACAAAUAUAGACCAGGAUGACAGAAGAUGUACACGCUGGGUGUUGAAUACCAUUUGGAAACCAAACGCCAGUUACUUGACAGUCCAGGAAAUUUUUCACAGCUGAGCCAUUGUGUUUUCUUCAGAAGUUAGAAAUAAGAUUGGCAGAUUCAUGUCCGUAUUCACCCACGCAGCAAAGUACUGGAAGAACUGCAUUAUUUCAUCCCACUCUUCAGUGAGUUUCUAUUAUUUACCAUGUAAGAACAACUUCUUUGUAAUGCCUCCCUUGUAGAAAAGUGUUUAUCUUCAUUGCCAACCCUUGAUUUCCAGUGCAUGUUCAAAAUAGUUGAUGGGUGAAGGAAUGCUGGCUGGUUUUAUGCUAAGAAAAAAGCCUGCACAAGUUCACAUUCAGUACAGUGAGUACACUUUUAUUUUUGCUAGAUGGUCUGCUGGUUUCUCCAGUCUUCUUAUGUAACACGAGGGAACAUUUUGUUGUUUGAAUUUCUAUAACUGCCUAUUUUCUGUGUUCAGAGGAGUAGAUUCCCUUACAUAUGGGGUAUUUUUAACUGGGUAAUGUAACUCAGAGUAAUAACACAUAAAAACAAUCUUCUGUGUUGGUUGUUUGAAAGAAAGCUGUUUAUUCAUUAGAAAUGUUAGAAACAUAAUAAUCAAAUUUGAUAGUUAGUUUUUCAUCAGACUCUGAAGUUCCGAGUAGAAAAUAGCACUGAAGUUCAAUUGCACGUUGUAAGCAAGUUUUAAUGACAUACACCUUUUUAAAUAUCCCUCAGUAAUGCAUGCUAUUAUUGUCCUCAGGACCACUGGAUCACCUUGUCCUAAUGGUUCAAAGCAUGCGAAAAAUCUUUAUCUAGAAGAAUAUGACAACUGAGAUUUUUUAUUGGUACACGAUAGCACAAUAAAUUCUGUCACCUGUAAUUAACUUGAUGCCAUAGUUCACUGCUGCAGAUCUUAAUGUAAAGAUUGCUGGGGCAAUGCUUUCAGGGCCAAAACUUCAGCCAGACUGUUGUGUGUGUGAAGGAAAGCACUGUAAAUCUCUGAAUUCUGUAUGGAUGGGGCCUUAUAAAUAUUUCUAUAAUUAGUCAAAGCACAGUGAUUUUUUUUUUUUCCUGCAGGUUAAAUACUGCUGAUCAGCUGCUUACUUUUUAGAAAGUUCUCUGUCCUUAGUAUUUACACGAGUCUUUUUCUGACCUGCUGUAAGCCCGUUAGUCCAAACCAGAUAAGGAGUCUAAUUUUAGAGCUGGAGAUAGUGUAACACUGUUACUAGUUGAUACUUGCUAUUUCAUUGCAUUCUAAGAUUAUGUAAUAAAGAAAAGAACUGCCUCCUAGAAGGGAAUGACUUAUGAAUUAUAAUACAAUAGUGAUCUUGUUUUUGGUGUUAUUAUUGCAUAUGUAUAUCUGCCUUUGCAUGGUUAGUUCUAGAAGAUACUGUCUACAGGUAUUGCUGAUUGCAAUUUAAAAAAAAAAAUUACAAUUCUUAUUUAUUCUUGGAAAUAUAUUUCUUUGCUUGCUAUGAAUCAGUUAAUACUGAGCCAUGAUAUUUUGCUGUGCUAGUGCCCUUUAUUGAAUGUAUCAAAGUACAUAAGACAUAUUGAUAUUGUAACAAACACAGAAACAAAGACUGUGUCUAAAAAACAAUUCCAAAGUUUUAGGAAGGAAGGAUUAUUAUAGAAUUCUGAGACUGCCUGAUACAAGAAGAAAGUGGUUUAGGCAGAUUCACAUCAUUUGACUUAACACACUCAUUCUAUAUAAAAGAAUUUAAUCUCCAAGACUGGCAAGCCGAAUUUUUAACAGGAACACUACUAUGCAAAUCAAAGAGCAAUUCUGUUAUCAUGCUAUGUACUAACUGCCAGACACUUGUUUGCUUUACAAAAUAUGCAUUAAUUUAUCAAAUUACCCCGCAAAAUAAACAAAACUGAAGAAAACCUAUGCAUUUAAAAUGGUUAGGAUUUGACAAAGAAAAAAUAUAAAAUGUUCAAAAGUAGCGAAUCCAAUUUUUGUUUCUUCAGCAACAAGCUCAUUUCAGGGAAAAGCUAUUAGAUACUGCUAUGUAAAGAAAAUGCAAUUUAUAAUGUUUAGUGUUACAAAUAAGAACUAAUUUUGAAAAGCUAAUUAGUGGAUUUCAUGAUGGCAUGACUACAUGAGCGGAUGAGGAAAAUGCUUGAUGUCACCUAUCUUAAUGUCAGUAGAGACUUGGACGUAGUCCCCAUCAUAUCUUUCUUUUCAAAUUCAAAAUGUGUGGAUUUGAAAGGUGGACUGAUGAACAAAGUUUAGUCUAGUCAUACCUUGAGAGUGGUGGUCAUUGGCUCAAUGUCUGGAUAGAGAAAGUAACAAGUGGUGCUCCUCAGGGGUCAGUACUGGGACCAAUGCUCUUUAAUAUCUUCAGCAGUGACAUUGACAGUGGGAUCAAGUACAUUCUCAUCAAGUUUGUGGAUGACAACAAGCUAUGUGAUAAGGUCAAGAUGACUGAGGGAUGGGAUGCCACUCAGAGAGACUUAGCCUUUGUCAGUGGGACAAGGAGAACCUCAUGAGGUUCAAAAAAUCCAAGUGCAAGGUACUGCACAUGGGUAAUGGCAACCAACCCCUUGUAUCAGUACAAGUUGAAGGAUGUAAGGACGGAGAACAGCCCUGCCACAGUGGGCAUAGGGAUACUAGUCAAUAGCAAGUGGACAUGAAGUAGCAGUGUGUACCCUCACAGCCCAGAAAGCCACUCCUGUCCUGGACUGCACCAAAAGAAUGGUGGUCAGCAGGUCAAGGUAGAUGGUCCUGCCCCUCUGCUCUGCAUUGGUGGGACCACAUCUGGAGUACUCCAUCCUGACGUGGAGUUCUCGAGUACAGGAGAGGCAUGGAUCUGUUAGAGCAUGAGCAGAAAUGGAAUACCUCCCCUGUGAGGACAGGCUGAAAGAGCUGGGACUGUUCAGCCUGGAAAAGAGAAGGCUCUGGGGAGAUGUGAUAGUAGCCUUUCAGUAUCUAAAGGAGGGCUAUAAGGAGAAGAGGACAGACUCUUCAGCAAGGUCUGUUGCGAUAGGACAAAUGAAAAUGGUUUUAAAAUAUAAAAGGAUAAAUUCACAUUAGAUACAAAGAAUUUUUUUUUGCUAUGAAGGUGGUGAGGCACUGAAAGAAAUCACCCAGAGAGGUGGUGGAUGGAUCCCUUGUCCUUGGAGACAUUCAAGAUCAGGCUGGCCCAGGCUCUGAGCAACUUGUUCAUAUUCAUUUCAAGGGAGUUGGAUUAGAUGACUUUCUAACUCAGAAGAUUCUGUAAUUUUAUGAUAAUACUAAACUCAAGUAGUAUAAGUUACCCAGCAAAGAUAUUUAUUUCUUGCAUUUAAUUUUGGUAUGAACCAGUUAACACCGAGCUAAGCGAAGAUCACCGAAAUAUUUCUAGAGUUCAGGCACUUUUAAACAUUGGUCACAGUUCUUAAAGUAUAAAUUUAAGGAUCUAUAUCUAUACUUAGAAUCAGAGAUAAAUGUUUGGGUGUUUUUUUU